rnacentral:rRNA from 1 species
UGGGGAAUAUUGCACAAUGGGCGCAAGCCUGAUGCAGCCAUGCCGCGUGUGUGAAGAAGGCCUCGGUUGUAAAGCACUUUCAGCGAGGAGGAAGGUGGUGAGCUUAAUACGCUCAUCAAUUGACGUUACUCGCAGAAGAAGCACCGGCUAACUCCGUGCCAGCAGCCGCGGUAAUACGGAGGGUGCAAGCGUUAAUCGGAAUUACUGGGCGUAAAGCGCACGCAGGCGGUUUGUUAAGUCAGAUGUGAAAUCCCCGGGCUCAACCUGGGAACUGCAUUUGAAACUGGCAAGCUAGAGUCUCGUAGAGGGGGGUAGAAUUCCAGGUGUAGCGGUGAAAUGCGUAGAGAUCUGGAGGAAUACCGGUGGCGAAGGCGGCCCCCUGGACGAAGACUGACGCUCAGGUGCGAAAGCGUGGGGCAGCAAACAGGAUUAGAUACCCUGGUAGUCCA